rnacentral:rRNA from 1 species
UACGAAGGGGGCAAGCGUUGUUCGGAAUUACUGGGCGUAAAGGGCGCGCAGGCGGCCAAUCAAGUCAGAUGUGAAAGCCCCGGGCUCAACCUGGGAAUAGCAUUUGGGACUGGUUGGCUAGAGAUCGGGAGAGGAGAGUGGAAUUCCCAGUGUAGAGGUGAAAUUCGUAGAUAUUGGGAAGAACACCGGUGGCGAAGGCGGCUCUCUGGAACGGUACUGACGCUGAGACGCGAAAGCGUGGGGAGCGAACAGG